rnacentral:rRNA from 1 species
GACGAACGCUGGCGGCGUGCUUAACACAUGCAAGUCGAACGGGUCUGCCCUGUUUUUUGCGGGGUGGGUCAGUGGCGAACGGGUGAGUAACACGUGAGUAACCUGCCCCUCACUUCUGGAUAACCGCUUGAAAGGGUGGCUAAUACGGGGUGUUCUGGCUGUGCCGCAUGGUGUGGCUGGGAAAGAUUCACUUUUGUGGUGUUUUGGUGGGGGAUGGGCUCGCGGCCUAUCAGCUUGUUGGUGGGGUGAUGGCCUGCCAAGGCUUUGACGGGUAGCCGGCCUGAGAGGGUGGGCGGUCACACUGGGACUGAGAUACGGCCCAGACUCCUGCGGGAGGCAGCAGUGGGGGGUAUUGCGCAAUGGGCGGAAGCCUGAUGCAGCGACGUCGCGUGAGGGAUGGAGGCCUUCGGGUUGUGAACCUCUUUCGCCGGUGAAGAAGGUCCUGCUCUUUGUGGUGGGGUUGACGGUAGCCGGGUUAUGAAGCGCCGGCUAACUACGUG